rnacentral:lncRNA from 1 species
UAACCACAGGGAUCCCUUCCUGCUUAUCCACCCACCGUAAACGAUUACUAACGAACUUGGAAUACGAAUGAGAUCAAAAAGGCCAUCAUUGGGGCAAACGAUGCAAUAGCUUCGGUUAGAGCAAAGCCCAAAAUGGCAUAACCAAAUAAUUGUUUUGCCAAUGAUGGAUUUCGCGCCACGGAAUGAAUCGAGGGUUCGGAGGAGAAUUGGCCAUUCAAUCUUGUGAACUAAUCGAGACCGAAAUUGGAAAAAGAGAUACGAACGGAGAGGAAUAACCAAUCGAUGAAAGAACAUGAAACCAUUCUGUUUCAAUAGAGGUACGAGAAACGGUUGGGGGCAAUGAAGUAGGUGAAGUGGUUGGAUUUUGCGAGCUGUUCCAACCACUGCUGGAUGUGAUUCCAAGAGCCGAACGAGAAUGAAUACCACACAGAAGAGUCAAGACCAGGCUACCUAAUGGAAUGUUUAACCGAUCCAUUCCGGAUCGACCGAAUUGGUACGGAAGUUGUAACAUGGGAAAACCACGGAAAACACGACUUAUUUGAAUAACCCGGUGACCUACCAAUUGUAGAAGUAGGAUUUUUGGCAAGCAAUAAGCACUUAAAUAAUACAAUUCAAGUGUACCAUCUUCUUUCUCAUUUCGAGGAAAAGGUGCGGAAGGAAAAGGAAACAACGGAGGGAUCCGAAUCGGACCUAAAUGGGAAUGACAUGAAAAGUCUUUUUCAAAACCUAGCAUUAAGGGCGUUACGACGAUAUACGAGAGGAAUAGAGAAAAACUCGUGAUUGGUGUGGAGGGGAAGAUCUGUUUAUGAUAUAGUUCAAGAAAGAGUCGUCUCAUUUCCUUACUUCUUUAUAAUUCAUUCACUUCAAGACUGGUUCUGAACGCCGCGUAAGAUCAUCUUCAACCAACCUCCACCGUACUUUCGGUGCGACCACUAAAGAAUUGCUUAUACACUAAAGAGCUGCUUAUAUACGUUUACUAAAAGACUGACUUUCAUUCAUUAUCAUUAGUCCAGCGUGAAACUAAGAAAGAGAGAUGUGCCUAAGGCGGCAUGUAAGCAAACUGUGCACGCUAAGAGAAGAGGAGAGAUGUUCGCAAUUACUACCACAAGAAAGCCGCCCCCUAUCUUCUAAAGGGGCCCGUCACUUCGUUCGUACCUUCUUGGCUUAGGCUUCCAACUGAACAACAUGGCCUUGCCGCCCCGCCACUAGCAGAAGCUAAGCGCUUGAAAAGCGCGCUAAGAAAGGUUGCUUCUGUCGCCCUUUCUGUGCAACAGUCCACCAGUAGCGGAAGAGAGGGUUACCGUACAUACAAGAGUCUUCCAGUUCUUACGGAAGCUCUUUCUUACCAGUCAAUCAAGUAGUACAAGAACUGUAUCUUAUCUUAUAGCCCGGCGCGGCGGGUCGCCUUUUAAAUUAAUUAAGUAGAUAGAAGAAAGUAUUAAAUAGAUAAGGAGUAGAUGAGUGAGUGAGUCCUCACUGACCUGAGCGAUUUCGAUCACCUAGCAGGCCUUUUAUUUGGUAGGUAACAUCGCCAAAGCGUAUCAUCAGAUUUGACUACGAAGGAAGGAACUCGAAGUGAAAGGGCACCGUCUUGUGCAAGGCAACGAUAGUUGGCCCUCUAUCAUCUUCUAUCUGGUAGACUUGGUAAAAGGGCCCCGACUUAUUUCCAGAAUUUGAGUUCGACCGCGGCUUCCCCCUUUUUUUGGGGGGGAUCAAGUUCCUUGCCAACUGCCACCUAUCGACCCCGAUCUCUUUUCAUUUGUUUUGGAUAUUACCAAACCUAGCCUAGCCUUCGUAAAUCACACUAAAGCGGACACCCAACUAUGGAAAAGCCUCCUUAAGGGUGGGUUAGGUUAGUCAAUCCGGCCCGAGACGCGUUCGUUGACAAAACCGCCGUAGGAAUUCCUACUUUUCAAUAGAGCGGAGGCGAACUGAUCAACGAGAAAGAGGCCCUACUCACUACAAACGAAUACACCACAAGAUUGAACUGCACUCAUGCCUCUCCCGCAUCAAGUUGACCGCCCCCCCUACGUAGUGAUUCUAUCAAUCAUGUACGUAGGUAGGACCCUCCAUUCUGAUUGGUAUAUCAUGAAAAAAGAAAGCCAUUUGCACCAGGCGCACUGCGCUUUCCCUUGCCCAGAUGUUCGCCUUUCUAAGUCAAGUAAUGGUGACCCACCGAAGACUGGAGCUUCGUAACAUGUUGACGAAGGCCCCCGAACUGAGGGUUCGGUCAGUAGAAGGGACGACUUUGUCUCCCCGGAAGAAGAAUAGCCCCGCUCUCUAGCCGACUGAUCCCGUUGACCCUAUAACUGGGAGGGAACGUGUCACAUUAGAGGUGAACGAUCAGAGGUGUCCUCUAAUCACCACGACGAGGCGGGUCCCUCUUUUAGUAGACUCAGCUAUGAAUAUUCAUUCAGAAAUGAAUGCCGGGCUCUUUCUUUCACUGCUAACCCCAUUUUCAACAUGCUGAAACUUUCUGUUUCGUCGAGCCCCGAGCUUGUGGUCCUCCUUUGAGUGUGGGUUCAAUUGAAUGAAUCUGUCAAGUCAAGGAAACCGUACGUAGCAGCAAGGAUGGUGCAUCGCCUAUUUAUCGUUCUCGCUCGGGAGCCAAAACGAACACGCCUGCUACCUACUGUACUGGACCUUCGACCAGGCAUUCUACCUUUGUCGAAUCGGAACCAACACCACUGCAUUGCGCUCGAACAGUUGAGCGGCCGCCGGCCAGCAACUUCCGUGCACAGAUAUAGAUUCAUUCCUCGUACCUGGUCCAGCCUCACAACCCUUCGCGGGUUGGUAAGAAGUCAGUCUUGUUUGGUAAGACGGAAUUGGACAAAGAAAAGAGAGUGCUCGACCGGAACAACGGCCAACAAAGACCGUAAUUACAUAGAUAACUGCUCCUCCCCCUCUCCUUAAGGCUUUAAGGCGAACCGUAUGGCGGCUGGAAAGAAAGACGCCCUCACCUUCUCUGGUGUCAGUGAGAGCAAUUUGAGUAUCCCCCGUUGACCUUCUUUUGUAGAUAGAAUCUUCAAUGAGUGGAAACAAGCAACCUUACUAAGAAAGGUGCUUGUUGAGUAAGGCCGGCUUUCGAGCCCAAGCCCCUUGUAUAGGUUGGGCGCUUGAGCGCAUCUUUCUCAUAUCGAUCAAGGCUUUCCUUGAGUUAGAAAUAAGGGGCAAGAAGCAAGGGCGUAGCAGCUGCGCGAAAGCCGUUGCGCCUUAGCGCAUCCCUUUUCUUGCAGGAGUGCUAACGCGCGACCUUACGUUUUCUUCCGCUUGCUCUGCAGUACGAGCCUCAUACAGAGCCGCGCUCCUUUAAUAUGAUGAGAAGAAGGGGGGCCGGCCUCUUUUCCGUACCAAUCCUUAUUUACUACUACAUCUUUUUUUGGGUGUAUAGCUCAGUUGGUAGAGCAUUGGGCUUUUAACCUAAUGGUCGCAGGUUCAAGUCCUGCUAUACCCAAACCUACCUUACACUCUACUAUGAAUAAGGAUGCAUAGUAGCCUUCAAAGAUGACUCUUUGGCCUUUCGACUCGCUUCGGCGACUUCGCCCUUUAAGUGACAAGGGGGUGAGCCGCUCCAAGCGGAAAGCGAUAGUGAAUCCCGAACUUGCCCACGCUCAUCCAAACCGGCCUCAAAAAGCGAUCGGAAAGCGAAGCCCUUCCUUCCAAUCCAAGCCGGCGAAGCCGCCCCUAUAUCUAACCACCGCUCACCCCGAUCACAUAUUGGCACGUUCAUGAUGCAUCAUAAUCAAAAGGCCGUAAAGUAAAGAAGACCUAUGCAUCAGUGUACUGUCAUGAUCACUAGCUCGAUUUUAUUGACGGCUUGAAGGCGAAGCCGCCUAUUUCUUAGGGCAAAGGGCGCUCCAUCCUCCUAACUCCUUCCACUUCUCCCAGGGACAGGAACUACGGCUUGACCUUCGGGGAAGAAGUCCGUGGGACCCCUCCUUCGAGGGCGCCUAGAUAGUGAAAGGUUAUCCCUUUGCAAGGCUGGAAGCUAAGCAAAGUCACGAAGCUGGCUGACUACGCUCGAGCAGAGCCCAGACCCGGAGGUGGUGGCUGAACUCGCCGCAGAGUUCAGGAGCGGAAAGCCACUUGACUGUAAGGAAAGGAGCGAGCAAGACUAUCUUGGUGAAUGCAAUAAGAACCGGCUGCUCGCCGCAGCAGAGUGCUUUGCCCAUGCUGCUAUCCGCCGCCGAAGCGCUCAAGGGAUUCGUGCUUGAAUGUCGAGAUCAGGGGACUCUAUCCAAUCCAUGCGGCAAAUCUGUUUGUGGUGGAAAAAAGUCAACAAUAAAGAAAAAAGAAAUAAAUAGAAUAUAGAAAAUCAUUGAAUUUGUUUGCUCCGAUACAAGAGAUCGGCCCCGAAGCAAGAUAUGGUGGGUGCCAGCAACUUUCACUUGUUAGGAGUAGGGGCUGAAAAGAGCUCUUUGUAUAGGUUGGGUUUUCUGGGCUUUGAUGCUUACCUUCUUAUUAUUAAAAGGGGAGGGUUUAAUAAAGGAGCUGAAAGCCACUUGACUGUAAGGAAAGGAGCCACCAUUCUCUUUCUUUCUUCUUCCGAUCAGGACAAGUGGGUUGGUUCGUUUCGUCCUCCUAUCUACGCAAUUCUCUGUCUUCGUUCGGUUCGGCAGAAGAAAGCCGAGAAAACAAACAAAUAGGAAGAGCACUAUGCAAGCUUAUAAUUAAGCAAAUAUAUAAAAGCUAUCACCACCUCAAGCAGUAAAACAAAGUCGUUAUGGCUAUGUUACUAACAUAGACAACCAUGAAUGGUAUUCAUUGACAGGAGUGACCGCUUUCUAGUCGUAGUUGGUACCGCCCCUGUUCACUUCAGCAUGCAAGGAACACCUUCGGGAAGAAUCAAAGUUUUUCUCCUCUGCAAAGCUAUCAAUGCUUUAUUCAAGAUCUUUAGCAGUCGAUCGUUCAUUCUCCCUCCCCAGUGGCUUUCGAAAGCUCGACAUGAAAGAAUAAAGAAAAUAGGAAAAAAGAGUACGGGGAUAUUUAGCUAUUUAGCUAUUUAGCCUUAGAGAAAGGUGACUUGGUAAGACCAGAAUCUGGAACAGAGAUUGGAUGAAGAAUUGCUUUUUCUUUAGCGGGAAUGGCGCCACCUUUUUAUUUAGCAACUGCCGCCCCGCUUAAUAGGAAUAGGAUGCACUUACCGACCGGUGAAAGGAAAGAGCUGGGUCAGCCAUCGACAAAGGAAUACCGAACUCUACCCGUGUGAGGCCUCGUAGCCAGGGAGAACCAUAGAAUCGGAGGGUUAUAUUAGAACAUCGGUGGAAAGGUCGAGAGGGCACCUAAAAAUAGCUUUAGAAGCCAGAUUAGGAAAGUCUUUCCCGAGUUCGAGCAAAUGCAAUGCGACAUCCAGGCAAAAAAGGGCUGGGGUCCGAUCUGCGCAUACAUCACUAAAGAAGAUAAGAAUCCACAUAUAUGGGGGAACACGUCAAAGGCCCAUGUUAUGGAAGUAGCAGAGGCUUAUGAGGGAAAGAAAAAAACAGGGGGUGCUCCUCUCCUUACAGUCAAGUGGCUUUCCGCUCCUCUACAACUACCUUUCGCCCAACAUGAUCACGAACGAAGACAGAGAAUUGCGUAGAUAGGAGGACGAAACGAACCAACCCACUUGUCCUGAUCGGAAGAAGAAAGAAAGAGAAUGGUGGCUCCUUUCCUUACAGUCAAGUGGCUUUCAGCUCCUUUUGCCCAGGGGACAUCGUCGGAGAACAAUGUCGGGGACAGGGUGAGAGCCUCCCGUUGGUUACGCCCUUUAAGUGUCGGUUCUUCCAUAUUUAGAUAUGGAGAUAGAUCCAUAUAGAGAUCUAUAUCUUUCUAUCGAUAAAUAGAUCUAUUGAGAAAUGGAUAUUGAUCUGGUUUCAAGAUCUAUGAACAAGAGAGAUCCCUAAAUAUCCAUUUGAGAAAAUAGAUGAAUAGAUAGGGCGAAGCCAGCUGAAGGAAGGUCGCGUUAGCGCCCCCUAUUUCACUAAAGCAAGAAGGGAGAAAGUUGACUUUGAGAAAGAAGGGCUUCUAUUUAGAUUAGUUUCUUAGUAAAAGAUAAGGCAAGAAGCAAGGGCGUAGCAGCUGCGCGAAAGCCGUUGCGCCUUAGCGCACCCCUUUUCUUGCUCGUUAGCGCCCCCCUACCCCUAUUAUUUAGAUUAUAGUCAUAAAGGAACUAAAGGAAAUUUGACAACCUUACUAAUAGAAAGGGGAUGCGCUCAAGCAUGCGAAGAAAGCUCGAAGAGCUUCUCUUAUAUUAUAGAAAGGUUUGUAGAAAGGGGAUUCUUCAAAUAUCCCAUGUUGUAGGGGCUUCAAAGAAAGCUUGUAGUUUAGGGGUGCGCAGGUUUGGAACCCUAUACAAGGGGCUAGCGCGCAAUGGCUUUCUCUGAUAGAGGCCCGCUUCUUCAAGUUCAAGUUCCGCUUGCUGCUUUUCAUUUUGAUAGGAGUAGGUGCUUGCAGCUCGCUCGCUGUCUACUAAAUGAGCCUUCACUGCCCGCCCGGCCCCUAUCUUUAAUCUUAAGUAAAGUGAAGUCAAAUCAAUGAAGUGAACAGCCCAACCUCUUUGUUUGAAGCUUUGCCAGGAAGCUUCUACUUGUUGAAGCUUUGUUUCCCCUAAUUCCGAAACACAACAAUAGACUUGCCACUAUAGUCUAGGAAAAAGCUUCUCUUUGAUAAGCGGUUAUAGGGGAGUUCAGAAAGGAUCUGAUCGUAGAUAGAGACUUCAACCUGUGCGGGGGUAGGGGCGGAUGUAGCCAAGUGGAUCAAGGCAGUGGAUUGUGAAUCCACCACGCGCGGGUUCAAUCCCCGUCGUUCGCCCAUCAAUAAAUGGACCGUUUGUUUCGGAGACACAAGACAACCCUAGAAAGCAUUUUUUCUGCAAGUCAUCUCGAGGCUUUCAAACGCAUCCAAGCAAUUGGUAUCCGAUUGAAAGAUAGAAAGCAUAGAUUCGCGUCGCCUACUUGCUGAAAGCAAAAAUGGAAUGGCCGAUCAUGAAUUCUAUGACGUUUUUAAGACCUCACUAAUCAGCCAACCACUUUUUAGUUCAUAAUGAAUGAACCCCCGGAUGAAGAAAAAAUAUCCCCUCCCUUUUACUAAACCAUGGGGAGCCCCGAGUAGUUUACCGGACAAAUUGAGUUGUCGUGACGAUACCUUUCAACAUCGGAAAUUCUCUUCAUCACGAGACUGAUCGGAUCUGCCGUAGACACCCGAGAGAUCUUCACAAGGCAGGCUAAAAUAAAAGACUAAGAGGCGCUGCAAGCGAGCAAAGAGUUAUGCUUUCAUUUCUUUGUUGAGAUUGAAAUCAAGUGAAAAGGUUAGGUAUAAUGCACGCAGGCUAAGUCAAGAAAAGGACUUCCUUACCUUUCAUUCAUAGUAGUCUUAAUGACUAGUAGUUUGAAGCCUUAAGAAAGCGGUUUUUUUUCGGCACUCGCUUCCUUCGUCUUAAGUAAAGUUCAGUUUACUUUUUCGAUUCGGAACUCUUAGUCGAGCUGAUGGCGAGAUCGAUUUUUUGUUCGAGGUUCAAGAGGA